rnacentral:rRNA from 1 species
GACGAACGCUGGCGGCGUGCUUAACACAUGCAAGUCGAACGGAAAGGCCCUGCUUGCAGGGUACUCGAGUGGCGAACGGGUGAGUAACACGUGGGUGAUCUGCCCUGCACUUCGGGAUAAGCCUGGGAAACUGGGUCUAAUACCGGAUAGGAGCCAUUUUUAGUGUGAUGGUUGGAAAGUUUUUUCGGGGUAGGAUGAGCUCGCGGCCUAUCAGCUUGUUGGUGGGGUAAUGGCCUACCAAGGCGGCGACGGGUAGCCGGCCUGAGAGGGUGGACGGCCACAUUGGGACUGAGAUACGGCCCAGACUGCUACGGGAGGCAGCAGUGGGGAAGAUUGCACCAUGGGCGCAAGCCUGAUGCAGCGAGGCCGCGUGUGGGAUGACGGCCUUCGGGUUGUAAACUCCUUUCGCUAGGGACGAAGCUUUUUGUGACGGUACCUAGAUAAGAAGCACCGGCUAACUACGUG